GUUACUACUUUUAUCUUCUUAGUGUCUGCAGGCCAUCCAUCCAAGGAAACCGCUUCAUGUAGAAAGCUGCUACAACAUGCUGUUGGCAAAACAGACCUGGGGAGAAGAACUGACAGAAACCUGCCUCGAAUGGAGGAAGAUUACACAGAUGGAGUCCCCAAAAUCAUACAGGCACUGGCAGAGCCCAUCAGGAGACGGCUAUAUCAAUCAGGCUCCUGUCAGCAGGCUCUGGUUUUCUUAAACGGUAAAAGGAAAG
rnacentral:lncRNA from 1 species